rnacentral:rRNA from 1 species
CGCGGCCUAUCAGCUUGUUGGUGAGGUAACGGCUCACCAAGGCAACGACGGGUAGCUGGUCUGAGAGGACGAUCAGCCACACUGGGACUGAGACACGGCCCAGACUCCUACGGGAGGCAGCAGCAGGGAAUAUUGCACAAUGGGCGAAAGCCUGAUGCAGCGACGCCGCGUGAGGGAUGAAGGCCUUCGGGUUGUAAACCUCUUUCAGGAGGGAAGAAGCGAAAGUGACGGUACCUCCACAAGAAGCCCCGGCCAACUACGUGCCAGCAGCCGCGGUAAUACGUAGGGGGCAAGCGUUGUCCGGAUUCAUUGGGCGUAAAGAGCUCGUAGGCGGCUCAACAAGUCGGUCGUGAAAGCCCGGGGCUCAACCCCGGGACGCCGAUCGAAACUGUUGUGGCUAGGGUCCGGUAGAGGAGAGUGGAAUUCCCGGUGUAGCGGUGAAAUGCGCAGAUAUCGGGAGGAACACCAGUAGCGAAGGCGGCUCUCUGGGCCGGCACCGACGCUGAGGAGCGAAAGCUAGGGGAGCAAACAGGAUUAGAUACCCUGGUAGUCCUAGCCGUAAACGUUGGGCACUAGGUGUGGCGGACUCAUUGACGUCUGCCGUGCCGUAGCUAACGCAUUAAGUGCCCCGCCUGGGGAGUACGG